GGAACAAUGAUUGCUCUCGCAAGUUUCCUGUCACUAUUUUAAUCAUAUGUUUAGCAUAUGUUUAGCACCAAGCCUAUAUGAACGGUUCUCUCAGUUUUUAUCAAGUGUUGAAUUCUACUUAUACUUCAUAUGGACCCCAAUUCUGGCAGGCCUGAUUUUCCGGUUCCUCCAUGGGAGCAUGGCAUGAAAUUGGGAGCAAGAUUCCAUUAAAAUCACAGUAUUCAGUUCUCUCGCCCACAACAUUCCCAUUUAAGGAGGCUUGCUCUGUCAUUGCCUUCAUAUCCAAUAUGUUGAGCCCAUGAAAACAGAUUGAAAAAGCAUGUUUGGCGAUGAUUUGUAAUAAACCAUAAACUGACCUUUA